CACGUAGGGCGCAAGCGUUGUCCGGAAUUAUUGGGCGUAAAGAGCUCGUAGGUGGUUUGUUACGUCUGCUGUGAAAACCUAGGGCUUAACCCUGGGCUUGCAGUGGAUACGGGCAGACUAGAGGCAGGUAGGGGAGAAUGGAAUUCCCGGUGUAGCGGUGAAAUGCGCAGAUAUCGGGAGGAACACCGGUGGCGAAGGCGGUUCUCUGGGCCUGGCCUGACGCUGAGGAGCGAAAGCGUGGGGAGCGAACAGGA
rnacentral:rRNA from 1 species